UGUAGCAGAGGAUGGCCUAGUCAGUCAUCAAUGGGAAGAGAGGUCCUUGGUCCUGUGAAUGCUCUAUGCUAGGGCCAGAAAGCAGGAGUUGGUGGUUGAGUGAGGGAGCAUCCUUAUAGAAGGAAGGAGAAGGGGAUGAGAGAGGGGGAUUCUAGAGGGGAAACCAGGAAAUGGGGAUAACAUUUAAAUUGUAGAUAAAGUACAUAUCUAAUAAAAAUAAUAAAAAGAAAAAAAUUGAAAUCAAUAGCAAAGGAAACUAUAGAAACUAGAAAUAAUUGGAGAUUGAAUGGUAAAUUUUUGAAAAACUAGUGAAGCUUUAAAGAAACUAAGUAAAGAAAUACCUCAAAUUUCUAUAAUCCCAUAAAAAUCAAAGCAGAAACCUUCUAGAAUAUAGCUGAGCUUAAAUACUUAGAGGAAAUUUUAUAGUGAUGAGAGCUUAUAUAAAAAAAAAAUCUCAGAAAGCUCUUACAUAACCUAAUUAUGCAACUCAGUGUCCUAUAAAAAUGAGAACAAGCAAAAUCUAACAGAAGCAGUUGUCAAAAAAAAAAUGAUAGAAAUCAGGGCAGAAAAAGAAGAUGUCAAAUUUUCUCAUUUGCAGAUGACAACCUUAUACUUAAAAGACCCCACUAACUCCAAUUGAAAACUUUCUAUUUCUAAUAAAUAGUUUCACCAAAGUAGCAGGAAACAAAAUUAACAUACAGAAACUGGAAAGUUUUCUGUGCACCAAUAAUAAACAAAACAAGAAAGAAAUUCAGGGCAAAACCCCAUUUACAAUACCUUCAAAAAUAAAUAAAAUGUCUAGGAAUAAAUAUGACCAAAAAUAAGAAAGACUUUUGCAAUGAAACUUUCAGACACCUAAGAAGACACAGGAAGAUGGAGACACUCCCAAGGGUAAUGGAUUGGCAGAAUCAAUAUUGUGUAACUGACUAUAUCACCAAAAUCACCAUUUUCCAUAAACAUCUCAGUGACAGUCUUCACAGAACAAAAAUAAAAUAAAAUAAAAUCACAGAUUUAUGUAGAAACACAAAAUAUACCAUAUAUUCAAAGCAAGAAGAAGGCAUUGUAAUACAUGAUUUUAAACUACACUACAGAACCAUAAUACCAAAAAAUAUCAUGAUUCUGACUCAAAAACAGGUAGACCUAUGGUACAAAAUACAUAGGAAUAAAGCCACAUAACUAAGACCAUUUACUUUUUUACAAAAGUUUAAAAAACAUACUUUGGAAAAAGAAGUCUCUUCAUCAAAUUAUGUUUUGAAAAAUAAAUAUCUACCCUAAUGUCAUUUAUAUACUAUUUUAAAAUACCGGCCAAAAGCAAUGAGGAGAAAGAAAGGGUUUACUAGGUUUUUUUACAUGUCACAGAGAAAUCAUAAAUUCAAACAGAUAGCAGAGAGAACAAGAUGCUUACUGACUUGUUUCUCUUAGCUUGAUCAGUUUCUCGAUACAUUUUAGACCCCUGCCCAGCGGGCCUUCCCACAUCAAUCAGCAGUCUCCUCCCACCCCUGAAAAAGCAUCUUACAGACCAAUAGAAGGAAAUAAUUUUUCAAUGACGUUCACUUUUGCCAGGUGUGUCAUGUUAACAGUUGAAGAUAAUCCUGAUGUGGAAAAAUAAAAUUCAAUCCCUUAUCUUUUGUCCUGCAAACACACAUACACACACACACACACACACACACACACACACACACUCACUCACACAAAAUCAACUGAAUUAAAAUAAAUUUAAGAUAUGAAACCAAGAAACUUCCAAAAUAAAACCAAAGUAUAAACACUUAAAGGCAUAUAGGCACAGAUUAAAACUUUCUGAAAAAGAGUGGAGUCCAAGAGCAUGUAAAAUAAUUCUAAGAAUUAAAAAAAAAAUGAGAUUAAAUUGUAUCAUUGCACAGGAAAUCAAAAAGUAUCUACAUAAUAACAUAAAUACUACAAUGAAGAGACAACUAAUAUGAGAAGUAAAUAUUUGUUUGCUAUACAAGACAGUUACUUAUAUGCAGACCUAUAUGCUAAACACUAAAGAAGAAAGAGUCCAAGUCACCUAGUCAAUAAAUAAGCUAAUAAAUUGAGCAGGCAGUUUUUCAAAAAAGAAAUGCAAACUGCUAAUAAACAUUUCACAAGCUACCCAAAAAGAUCUUAGCCACGGGAAAAAAUGUUCAACAUCCUUAUCCACCAGGGAAAUGAAGACUAGUGCUACUAUUGAAAUUCUUCACUGCCAUAAUCAAAAUAGCAACCAUCAGGUAAACAAAGAACAACAAAUGCUGGCAAGGAUGUAAGGAAUAUAAACGUGUGCGACCACUGGAAAUGAGUAUGGAAGAUCCUC
rnacentral:lncRNA from 1 species